rnacentral:rRNA from 1 species
AUACGAAGGGGGCAAGCGUUGUUCGGAAUAACUGGGCGUAAAGCGCACGUAGGCGGAAUGUUAAGUUAGAGGUGAAAUCCCAGGGCUCAACCCUGGAACUGCCUUUAAUACUGGCAAUCUAGAGACCGAGAGAGGUGAGUGGAAUUCCGAGUGUAGAGGUGAAAUUCGUAGAUAUUCGGAGGAACACCAGCGGCGAAGGCGGCUCACUGGCUCGGUACUGACGCUGAGGUGCGAAAGCGUGGGUAGCAAACGGGAUUAGAUACCCUUGUAGUCC